UACGUAAGGGGCAAGCGUUAUCCGGAUUUACUGGGUGUAAAGGGAGCGUAGACGGCAUGGCAAGUCUGAUGUGAAAACCCGGGGCUCAACCCCGGGCCUGCAUUGGAAACUGUCAGGCUAGAGUGCAGGAGAGGUAAGCGGAAUUCCUAGUGUAGCGGUGAAAUGCGUAGAUAUUAGGAGGAACACCAGUGGCGAAGGCGGCUUACUGGACUGUAACUGACGUUGAGGCUCGAAAGCGUGGGGAGCAAAC
rnacentral:rRNA from 1 species